ensembl:lncRNA
AUUUAAGCCCUGUGUUUCUCUGGGUCCGUGUCGUGAUCUACCUUCAUCUUGUUGUGUGUUCGGUCUGUCUGUAUCACAAAAUCAUCACAGUUGAGUCUGGACAGGACGUCACUCUGACAUGUCGAGCUCAAGCCCACAUUGUCAUAGUUGUAGAGUGGAGCAGAACUGACCUGGAAGAUGAAGAACUUGUCCUUUUAUAUCAGCAUGGACGACUUGUUCCAGAUUACCAGCAUCCAUCUUUUGAGAACCGGGUGGAUCUGAAGGACAGACAGAUAGCUGAUGGAGACGUGUCUUUGAUUCUGAAGAAUGUGAGACAAGAUGAUGCUGGAACAUACGAGUGUCGUGUCAUCCAGAGAGCUGGAAAACCUUUGAAGCUCAUCAGCAUCAUCAACCUGAGAGUUGGUUCUCCAAGCCGUGGUUCAUUCAACACAGUGGAUGAUGCAGCAGAGAUACCUGACUCAAAACAGGACACUCUUCCAGGGCCAGUGAAUAACACCUCUCCUCCAGCUACAGAUAUCUGUUGGUGUGCUUCAGUAUUUUCAUUCAGCAAACCAGCCUAUGAAAUGAAAGAAACAAAUCCUGACUGGGUUCCAACACUACACACGGGGCACUACGAAAUCCCUGCUUCAAACUACAUUCUACAUACCACCAUGCCAAUCAGAUUACUUCUUCCAUGUGUGGGUAAAAAGGUGACCCUCCUGGAUAAGAUGGCAAAGGUUUGCUGCGUUUUGGUGAACAUGUGCCCCAGUGUGGUAGUAAAACCAGGGAAAAAUGCUCUUGUUAAAUACUCUUAAGUCUUGUGCUGUUUAUG